UGCGCGGGAGCUCAGCUCCUCCCUCCAAGGCCCCCGGCUGAGCGAGAGGCGGGAAACGGCCGUCGCUGCCGCAGCCCUCCCGAUCCCUCUCCCGGUGCCGGGCCGACUGGGCUCCACAUCCCUCUGCGUCCCGCUGACCUGUCAGUUCACUUCACGGUUGGAGCCCGCUGGGGCUGAGCUGGGGACACCUCGGCACCGCUUUCCCCUCUCAGGUCCGGGAGCCCUCGUGUCGGGCCGUCAGUCGGUCCUCACGCUGCGCGGAGGGACAUGGCCUUCAUUUGGAGAAGCUGUUUGCUUUUCUGAGUCUUUCACACUGCUGCUUCAGAGUCCCUGGAAGAGGCCUGGCUCCUCAUGGAAUGAUCACUGAAGUCAGCUUCAGUUAGUUAGUUCAACCUCGGCCGGCUGUCAGGUGCGUCCUGGAGCGGGGAGCCGGGAAGACAGAACAGCCUUCUGACCGGCUCCGGCUCACAGACAGUCACCGAACCCUCCACUUCUUCCUCUAACAGUGCCUCCGUGGUACUUGUGAAUUCCCCUUAAAGUCAGGGUUUUCAGGAUCUGAUCUGACCUGAGAUAUCCCACACACCCAGAUAUGAUUUGGUAGAACGCAGCUGCUCACUGCUCUGCUCUAUCAUACACCACAGAGACUGACUAGGCCCUACGUACAUAGUUCCUUCUGUUGAUAAAAUAUUUAGGAUCUUCCAGAAAGAAGUGGGUAACUCUCCUCUCAGUUUUAACUGCAAAUGCUCAAUACAGUCUCAUAGUAUGUUUCAGUAUGGAAAUUGGUUACAGUGACUUGCAUUUGAAUCUGCCCACAAAAUGGAGUGUUUUACAUGUGCUCUUGAAAAGAGCGCUAAGCUUUGUUCCAAGUUCAUUCUUGGAAACAAGAGUCUAUAAUUGUUUUAAAGUUAGUUUGAAUGAUGUAAAAUGACUUUUCCUUUAUUAAAAAAGGCAAGAUACUGGUUAAAA